AUAGAGUUUAUUAUUGAAUGUUCUGGGGUGUGACUAAGAUGGAGAUAUUGGUUUAAAUGCACCAUGUUAGUCAUAUGGUUUAUAUAAUUUUUUUUAAGGCGAAAUAAGUAUGAAUUCCACAUGAAUCCAAUCCAUAUUAGGGCAUGAAACAAAUUGCUACUACUACCAAAAUAUAGCAGUUAGGUUAGAAUCGAAUGUCUCUAAGUUCUAGAUUAAUUAGGAAGGGAAUUUGCCAUUCUUUUUUAGUACUUAUCUACAAAGAGAACAAAACAACUAAAAAAGUAUCAUCCAAUUUGAUGUAGCCGUUUCCGAGCUAUGCGCAUACAUUACGUCGGCUCUUUGAAAAUUAUUUAUGUAACACAAAAACAUAGAAAAAAAAUAAAGUCAGAAACAAAAACAGUACAUUUUUUUAUAAAAAAGGGGAAACAAAAAAUACUGCACAAUAAAAAUAAUAGUAGUAUAAAAGUAAAACUAUAAAAAAUUGCAUAGAAGAAAACAAUCUACAACCAUAACCUUUUCAAUUCCAGUACAAAAGGUACGCGUCAGACGACACGCAAGUCCGGGGCCGUACAACGCGAACAAACUGUCUCGGUACGUGGAACUGGUCCUGGUGGCAGACAACAGGGAGUACAAGGCCAACGGGGAGAACAUACAGACGUGUACCGGCAGAUGAAGGAUGUCGCCAACAUUAUUAACUCGGUAAGUUGAUGUUUGUUGUUUUAAAUACAACGCGAACAAACUGUCUCGGUACGUGGAACUGGUCCUGGUGGCAGACAACAGGGAGUACAAGGCCAACGGGGAGAACAUACAGACGGUGUACCGGCAGAUGAAGGAUGUCGCUAACAAUUAACUCGGUACGUUCAUAUUUUGUUUUAAAUAACUUAUAGAAUAGCACUUUUUUUUUAUGAAAAUGCCGUAAUCGAGCAGACGUAUUACCUGAUGGUAAGCAAUCGCCGCCGCCCAUGGACACUUUGAAACACCAAAAGCGUUACAAGUGCGUUGCCGCCUUUUUGGGAUUAGGAUUUUAAGUUAUUGUUCGGGAAUCUGGGAUUGGGAAGGGGGGAAUUGGGCUCCGUAACCUCACUCACACAACGAAACACUACGCAAGCGUGUUUCAGUCGGUUUUCUGUGAGGCCGUGGUAUCACUCCGGUCGAGCCGGCUCAUUCNGUAGUUGUAGUACAUACUCUACUGCAUGUGAUAAAUAACGCCUUUGAGCGAAAGGGAAUCCGGUUCCUAUUCCGGAACCCGGCAGCGGAACCGUUUCAAUAAUCGUUCCCUCGUUUUUACAGCGAGUGUUCGACGGGGUAACCAAGUGGCCUGAAGACGCGCCGAGAGGUCCGGGAAGAGUUUUCUUUCUGCCUGAGCGUUCGAGUUCCAUGGAAUCCUAUAGAAGGGAGAUAUGGUUCGGAACGCGAAGAGCACCGCAUUUGCGGCGGUGUCCGGAUACUCUCUGCGGACCUUGAAAAUUCAGGUGAGGGAUGUACGUGGAGAUGUCGCGCCGGUUCGUACCCAUAUCCGCAGCAGGUCUCCAAGGUGAAGAGCCUCUAGUCGAUAGAAUAAUGUAGGUAAGGGAAGUCGGCAAAUUGGAUCCGUAACUUCGGAAUAAGGAUUGGCUCUGAGGACCGGGGCGUGUCGGGUUUGGACGGGAAGCGGAUGCGGCCGGUGCCGGGCCUGGUCGAUGCUCUGGCGUCUCUCGGGGCGUCAGGGCGGAAUCCGGACCGCGUUCCGGCCUUCCGCGGAUCUUCCUAGCCGUAAGGCCGUGUCGGUUUCGUCUCGUGCGCGAUCGGCGCGGUUCUGUACGACCGCCGUUCAACGGUCAGCUCAGAACUGGCACGGACAAGGGGAAUCCGACUGUCUAAUUAAAACAAAGCAUUGCGAUGGCCCUCGCGGGUGUUGACGCAAUGUGAUUUCUGCCCAGUGCUCUGAAUGUCAACGUGAAGAAAUUCAAGCAAGCGCGGGUAAACGGCGGGAGUAACUAUGACUCUCUUAAGGUAGCCAAAUGCCUCGUCAUCUAAUUAGUGACGCGCAUGAAUGGAUUAACGAGAUUCCCACUGUCCUAUCUACUAUCUAGCGAAACCACAGCCAAGGGAACGGGCUUGGGAGAAUCAGCGGGGAAAGAAGACCCUGUUGAGCUUGACUCUAGUCUGGCAUUGUAAGGAGACAUGAGAGGUGUAGCAUAAGUGGGAGAUCGUUCGCGCGAUCGUCGCUGAAAAACCACUACUUUCAUUGUUUCAUUACUUACUCGGUUGGGCGGAAGCGGUGCGCGGUCGAUAAUAUCGGCGGGCGCACGGUGUUUCGUUCCAAGCGUGCAGAGUGGCGACGUGGCGGCAACGCUCGUCGCCGUACAACUCCCGCGUGAUCCGGUUCGAGGACACUGCCAGGCGGGUAGUUUGACUGGGGCGGUACAUCUGUCAAAGAAUAACGCAGGUGUCCUAAGGCCAGCUCAGCGAGGACAGAAACCUCGCGUGGAGCAAAAGGGCAAAAGCUGGCUUGAUCCAGAUGUUCAGUACGCAUAGGGACUGCGAAAGCACGGCCUAUCGAUCCUUUAGUAUAAAGAGUUUUUAGCAAGAGGUGCCAGAAAAGUUACCACAGGGAUAACUGGCUUGUGGCAGCCAAGCGUUCAUAGCGACGUUGCUUUUUGAUCCUUCGAUGUCGGCUCUUCCUAUCAUUGCGAAGCAAAAUUCGCCAAGCGUUGGAUUGUUCACCCAUCAAAAGGGAACGUGAGCUGGGUUUAGACCGUCGUGAGACAGGUUAGUUUUACCCUACUGAUGGCUUGUCGUUGCGAUAGUAAUACUGCUCAGUACGAGAGGAACCGCAGUUCUCGGACAUUUGGUUCAUGCACUCGGCCGAGCGGCCGUGGUGCGAAGCUACCAUCCGCGGGAUUUGCCUGAACGCCUAAGGCCGAAGCCAGCCUAGCCGAAUCCGGCAAGGAUAUGCUCACUGUGGAGCCCGAGAGUCGGGAGGCUCUAACAAUGUGACUUACUAGUCGCGCUUCACCACGUGAGGUGCGACGUCGAAGCCCAUUUGGAUCGCGGAGAUCGAUGCUGUCCGUUUAACGCGUGCAUCACGGCUCCGAAGGUCCGAAUUUACCUCA
rnacentral:rRNA from 1 species